GUGGGGAAUAUUGCACAAUGGGCGAAAGCCUGAUGCAGCGACGCCGCGUGGGGGAUGAAGGCCUUCGGGUUGUAAACUCCUUUCGCUAGGGACGAAGAGUUACAUUGACGGUACCUGGAGAAGAAGCACCGGCUAACUACGUGCCAGCAGCCGCGGUAAUACGUAGGGUGCGAGCGUUGUCCGGAAUUACUGGGCGUAAAGAGCUCGUAGGUGGUUUGUCGCGUCGUCUGUGAAAUCCCGGGGCUUAACUCCGGGCGUGCAGGCGAUACGGGCAUAACUGGAGUGCUGUAGGGGAGACUGGAAUUCCUGGUGUAGCGGUGAAAUGCGCAGAUAUCAGGAGGAACACCAAUGGCGAAGGCAGGUCUCUGGGCAGUAACUGACGCUGAGGAGCGAAAGCAUGGGUAGCGAACAGGAUUAGAAACCCCUGUAGUCC
rnacentral:rRNA from 1 species